UAAAUGGAAGUACAACAAUUGAUAGAAGAGCUGAAAAUAUAUGAUUUUAAAAUGAAUAGUAUUUCAUCUUAUUCUAAGAAAACAGGAAUAUCACCUAAAACAAUCAAAAAGUAUCUAGUACAGAAUAAUAUUCCUCAUAAUUCUAAAGGAGUUGUGAAUGAUCUAAAAAGAGAUGCUAGUGGAAGGUAUUGUCUUUCUAAAAGUAUGAUAAAUUUCCCAGAGUGU
ensembl:ncRNA ZC53.11 ncRNA